GGCAACAGAAUUCUUAGCCUGUACCAUCCAAAUAACUCUGUUCAAAGAUAACAUGGCACUGAGAAGUGAGGAGGAAUUGGAAAUACUAUUAUCGGUCAUUAUACAGAUAAAUUUAUCUUCAGAAGGAGACAAGAUAUUGAAUGGUGUUGGUGCCUCAAAAGUAUUUAUAAUGUCAGCGAUGCAUAUCUCUUCUUCACCUAUAGGGGAGUUAUUCCAGCAUUUGCCCGGC
rnacentral:lncRNA from 1 species